GCCAUUUCAGAUGGUGUUGAAGUACUCGACUGUCCUGUUCAAAUAACCAAAGACGGGAUACCAUUUUGCAUGAGCUCAAUUAAUCUCAUCGACAGCACAACAAUAUCUCAAUCACCAUUCAUUAACCGUUCAAAAAAAAUUCCCGAAAUUAGUCCUAACGAAGGAAUUUUUGCUUUUGACUUAACAUGGGAAGAGAUUCAAGGCCUAACCCCGUCAAUAUUGAACCCUUAUUCGAAGUUCACGUUGUUCCGAAAUCCAAGGUUCAGAAACAGUGGAAAAUUCAUAACACUACCUGAUUUCUUGGCCUUCGCAAAGAAUGCAAGCACUCUUUCUGGUGUCUUGAUCCAUAUUGAGCAUGCAGCCUACCUUGCUAAGGAUCAGGGUUUAAGUGUAACUGAUGCGGUCUUUGGUUCCUUAAGCAAAGCUGGUUAUGAUAAUCAGACAGCCCUUAAAGUAUUGAUUCAAUCUCCAGAUAGUGCUGUUCUAAAAAA
rnacentral:misc_RNA from 1 species